GACGUAGGAUCCGAGCGUUGUCCGGAGUUACUGGGCGUAAAGCGCGCGCAGGCGGACACGCGCAUCGGCGGUGAAAGCCCCCCGCUCAACGGGGGAGGGUCCGUCGAGAUGGCGUGUCUGGAGGCAGGGAGAGGCCAGUGGAAUUCCGGGUGUGAGUGGUGAAAUGCGUAGAGAUCCGGAGGAACACCAGUGGCGAAGGCGGCUGGCUGGACCUGACCUGACGGCUG
rnacentral:rRNA from 1 species